GACGAACGCUGGCGGCGUGCCUAAUACAUGCAAGUAGAGCGCUGAAGAGAGGAGCUUGCUCUUCUUGGAUGAGUUGCGAACGGGUGAGUAACGCGUAGGUAACCUGCCUGGUAGCGGGGGAUAACUAUUGGAAACGAUAGCUAAUACCGCAUAAAAUGGAUUAUCGCAUGAUAUUCCAUUGAAAGGUGCAAAUGCAUCACUACCAGAUGGACCUGCGUUGUAUUAGCUAGUUGGUGGGGUAACGGCUCACCAAGGCGACGAUACAUAGCCGACCUGAGAGGGUGAUCGGCCACACUGGGACUGAGACACGGCCCAGACUCCUACGGGAGGCAGCAGUAGGGAAUCUUCGGCAAUGGACGGAAGUCUGACCGAGCAACGCCGCGUGAGUGAAGAAGGUUUUCGGAUCGUAAAGCUCUGUUGUAAGAGAAGAACGAGUGUGAGAGUGGAAAGUUCACACAGUGACGGUAUCUUACCAGAAAGGGACGGCUAACUACGUG
rnacentral:rRNA from 1 species